ensembl:lncRNA
GUUUGAUAGAAUUCUGCACUAAACCCAUCUGGACCUGGGCUCUUUUUGGUUGGGAGACCUUUAAUGACUGCUUCUAUUUCCUUAGGAGUUAUGGGGUUGUUUAACUGGUUUAUCUGUUCCUGAUUUAACUUCGAUACCUGGUAUCUGUCUAGGAAAUUGUCCAUUUCCUGCAGAUUUUCAAGUUUUGUUGAUAUAGGCUUUUAUAGUAAGAUCUGAUGAUUUUUUGAAUUUCCUCUGAUUCUGUAGUUAUGUCUCCCUUUUCAUUUCUGAUUUUGUUAAUUUGGACACACUCUGUGUCCUCUCGUUAGUCUGGCUAAGGGUUUAUCUAUCUUGUUGAUUUUCUCAAAGAACCAACUUUUGGUUCUGUUGAUUCUUUCUAUGGUCCUUUUUGUUUCUACUUGGUUGAUUUCAGCUCUGAGUUUGAUUAUUUCCUGCCUUCUAUGCCUCCUGGGUGUAUUUGCUUCUUUUUGUUCUAGAGCUUUUAGGUGUGCUGUCAAGAUGCUGAUAUAUGCUCUCUCCUGUUUCUUUCUCCGGGCACUCAGAGCUAUGAGUUUUCCUCUUAGCACAGCUUUCAUUGUGUCCCAUAAGUUUGGGUAUGUUGUACCUUCAUUUUUCAUUAAAUUCUAAAAAGUCUUUAAUUUCUUUCUUUAUUUCUUCCUUGACCAGAUUAUCGUUGAGUAGAGCAUUGUUCAAGUUCCAUGUAUAUGUGGGCGUUCUUCUUUUAUUGUUAUUGAAGACCAGCUUUAGGCCAUGGUCGUCUGAUAGCACGCAUUGGAUUAUUUCUAUCUUUCUGUACCUGUUGAGGCCCGUUUUUUGACCAAUUAUAUGGUCAAUUUUGGAGAAAGUACCGUGAGGAGCUGAGAAGAAUGUAUAUCCUUUUGCUUUAGGAUAGAAUGUUCUAUAAAUAUCUGUUAAGUCCAUUUGGGUCAUGACUUCUCUUAGUCUGUCUACGUCUCUGUUUAAUUUCUGUUUCCAUGAUCUGUCCAUUGAUGAGAGUGGGGUGUUGAAAUCUCCUACUAUUAUUGUGUGAGGUUCAAUGUGUGUUUUGAGCUUUAGUAAGGUUUCUUUUACGUAUGUAGGUACCCUUGUAUUUGGGGCAUAGAUAUUUAGGAUUGAGAGUUCAUCUUGGUGGAUUUUUCCUUUGAUGAAUAUGAAGUGUUCUUCUUUAUCUUUUUUGAUGACUUUUGGUUCAAAAUUGAUUUUAUUCGAUAUUAGAAUGACUACUCCAGCUUGCUUCUUUAGACCAUUUGCUUGGAAAGUUGUUUUCCAGCCUUUCACUCUGAGGUAGUGUCUGUCUUUGUCUCUGAGGUGUGUUUCCUGUAGGCAGCAGAAUGCAGGGUCCUUGUUGCGUAUCCAGUUUGUUAAUCUAUGUCUUUUUAUUGGGGAGUUGAGGCCAUUGAUGUUGAGAGAUAUUAAGGAAUAGUGAUUAUUGCUUCCCGUUAUAUUCAUAUUUGGAUGUGAGGUUAUGUUUGUGUGCUUUUCUUUUCUUUGUUUUGUUACCAAGACGAUUAGUUUCUUGCUUCUUCUAGGGUAUAGCUUGCCUCCUUAUGUUGGGCUUUACCAUUUAUUAUCCUUUGUAGUGCUGGAUUUGUAGAAAGAUAUAGUGUAAAUUUGGUUUUGUCAUGGAAUAUCUUGGUUUCUCCAUCUAUGUUAAUUGAGAGUUUUGCAGGAUACAGUAACCUGGGCUGGCAUUUGUGUUCUCUUAGGGUCUAUAUGACAUCUGUCCAGGAUCUUCUGGCUUUCAUAGUCUCUGGAGAAAAGUCUGGUGUGAUUCUGAUAGGUCUGCCUUUAUAUGUUACUUGACCUUUUUCCCUUACUGUUUUUAAUAUUCUUUCUUUAUUUUGUGCGUUUGGUGUUUUGACUAUUAUGUGACGGGAGGUGUUUCUUUUCUGGUCCAAUCUAUUUGGAGUUCUGUAGGCUUCUUGUAUGCGUAUGGGUAUCUCUUUCUUUAGGUUAGGGAAGUUUUCUUCUAUGAUUUUGUUGAAGAUAUUUACUGGUCCUUUGAGCUGGGAGUCUUCACUCUCUUCUAUACCUAUUAUCCUUAGGUUUGAUCUUCUCAUUGAGUCCUGGAUUUCCUGUAUGUUUUGGACCAGUAGGUUUUUCUGCUUUACAUUAUCUUUGACAGUUGAGUCGAUGAUUUCUAUGGAAUCUUCUGCUCCUGAGAUUCUCUCUUCUAUCUCUCGUAUUCUGUUGGUGAAGCUUGUGUCUACGGCUCCUUUUCUUUUCUUUUGGUUUUCUAUAUCCAGGGUUUUUUCCAUGUAUUUUUUCUUGAUUGCUUCUAUUUCCAUUUUUAAUUCCUUCAACUGUUUGGUUGUGUUUUCCUGGAAUUCUUUCAGGGAUUUUUGUGAUUCCUCUCUGUAUUCUUCUACUUGUUUAUUUAUGUUUUCCUGUGUUUCUCUAACGGAGUUCUUCACAUUUUUCUUGAAGUCCUCCAGCAUCAUGAUCAAACAUGAUUUUGAAACUAGAUCUUGCUCUUCUGCUGUGUUUGGAUAUUCUGUGUUUGCUUUGGUGGGAGAAUUGGGCUCUGAUGAUGCCAUGUAGUCUUGGUUUCUGUUGCUUUGAUUCCUGCGUUUGCCUCUCGCCAUCAGAUUAUCUCUAGUGUUACUUUGUUCUUCUAUUUCUGACUGUGACUAGACUGUCCUAUAAGCCUGUGUGUCAGGGGUGCUGUAGACCUGUUUUCCUGUUUUCUUUCAGCCAGUGAUGGGAACAGAGUGUUCUGCUUUCGGGACUGUAGUUUUUCCUAUCUACAGGUCUUCAGCUGUUCCUGUGGGCCUGUGUCCUGAGUUCACUAGGCAGGUCGCUUGGAGUAGGAAGGUUUGUCUUACCUGUGGUCCCGAGGCUCAAGUUUGCUCGUGGGGUGUUGCUUAUGAGCUCUCCGUGGGGGCAGCAACCAGGAAGAUCUGCGCCGCCCUUUCUGGGAGCUUCCGUGCACCAGGGUUCCAGAUGGCGUUUGGUGUUUUCCUCUGGAAUCAGUAAUGUGGGCAGAGUGCAGUCUCUUCUGGUUUCCCAGGCAUGUCUGCCUCUCUGAAGGUUUAGCUCUCCCUCCCACGGGAUUUGGGUGCAAAGAACUGCUUAUCAGGUCGGUCCCUUCAGGUUUGGGUGGUGUCUCAGACGCAGGCGACCUGCUGCUGCUGUGCCCUUAUCCAAGGGAACCCAGAGGCCGUAUACAGUUUCCUCUUAGGCCAGGGAUGUGGGCAGGGGUGGGCAGUGUUGGUGGUCUCUUUCGCUCUGCAAUCUCAGGAGUGCCCACCUGUCCAGGCGGUGAAGUCUCUCUCCCAGGGAGUUUGGGAGCAGCAAGCUGCUGUGGGCAGGGAUCCUCGGGUUUCCUCACUUAUAUUAUAAGUUCUAUCCAUUUGCCUGCAAAUUUCAUGAUGUCUUUGUUUUUAAUAGCUGAAUAGUAGUUCAUUAUGUAGAUGUAUCAUAUUUUCUUUAUCCAUUCUUCAGUUGAGGGACAUCUAGGUUGUUCCUAAUUUCUGGCUUUUACAAAUGAAGUUGCUGUGAACAUAUCAGAGCAAAUGAUUCUGUGUUAUAGUGGGGCAUCUUUGUUGUAUAUGCCCACGAGCAAUAUAGCUGGAUCUUGAGAUAGAACUAUUCUCAAUUUCCUGAGAAACUUCCAAGUUGUUUUCCAAAGUGGUUAUACAGGUUUGUAAUCCCACCAGCAGUGAAUGAGUGUUUGCCAUACUCCACAUCCUCAUCAGCAUGUGCCAUCACUAGAAUUUUUGAUCUUAGCCAUUCUGACAGGUAUAAGAUUUUUGAUUUGCAUUUCCAUGUUGACUAAAGACAUUGAACAUUUCAAGAACUAUUUGGCUAUUCUAGAUUCCUCUGUUUGUAAGUCUCUGUUUAGGUCUGCACUCCAUUUUUAAAAUUGAGUUAUUUGAUUUGUUAAUGCUUAAUUUCUUGAGUUGUUUAUAUAUUUUGGAUAUUAGUCCUAUGUCAGAUGUAGGGUUUGUGAAGGUCUUUUCCCAUUCUGUAGGCAGCAGCUUUGUCAUAUUGAUGGUGUCCUUAGCCUUACAAAAGCUUCUCAUUUUCAUGAAGUCCCAUUUGUUGUUUGUUGAUCUUAGUGCUUGAGCUAUUGGUGUUCAGUUCAGAAGCUUGUAUCCUGAGCAAAUGAGUUCAAGGAAGUUUCCCCACUUUCUCUUCUCUUAGAUUUAGUGUGCUCAGUUUUAUGUUGAAAUCUUUGAUCCACUUGGACUUGAACUUUGCAUAGGGUGAUUCACAUGGGUCUAUUUGCAUUCUUUCACAUGCAGACAUCCAAUUAGACCAGAAUCAUUUGUUGAAGAUGCUUUUAUUUCUCCGUUGUUUGGUUUUGACUUUGUUGAAUUCCACAUAUCCAUAGAUGUGUGGGUUUAUUUCUGGGUCAUAGAUUUUAUUCCAUUGAUCAAUCUUUCUGUUUUUAUGCCAGUAUCAUUCAGUUCCUAUUACUGUUGCUGUAUUGUAUAUCUUGAAAUCAGAAUGGUGAUACUUCCAGACUAUGUUUUAAUUAUAAUUAUACAUAAUUGUUUGUUUUAUCUUUCCUGUGGUUUAUGUUUUUACAUAUAAAGUUGAGAAUUGUACUUUCAAAGUCCGUAAAGAAUUUUAUUGGAUUUGGAUGGGAAUUGUAGAUUGCUUUUGGUAAGAUGGCCAUUGUUACUAUGUUAAUCCUAUGAUCAAUGAGCAGGGGAGAUCUUUCCAUCUUUUGAUAUCUUCCUCAAUUUCUUCUUUCAGAGACUGGAAUUCUUGUUAUACAAGUCUUUCAAUUGCUUGGUUAGAGUUACACCUAGAUAUUUUAUAUUAUUUGUGGCCAUUGUAAAGGGUGUUGUUUUCCUAAUUUCUUUCUUAGUCCAUAUAUCACUUGUGUAAAGGAGGGCUACUGAUUUGACUUGAAUUUUUAUCCAGCCACUUUGCUGAAAGUGUUUAUCAUCUGUAGACAUUCUCUGGUAGAAUUUUUGGGGUCACUUACAUGUACUAUCAUACCAUCUGUGAUAUUGAUACUUUGACUUCUUCGUUUUCAAUUUGUAUCCCCUUGAUCUUCUUUAUUUGUCUUGUUGCUCUAGUUAGAACUUUAAGUACUAUACUGAAUAGAUAGGGAGAGCAUGGACAGACUUAUCUUGUCCCUUAUUUUAGUAAAAUUGCUUUAAGUUUCUCUCUUUAUAAUUUAAUGUUGGCUAUUGAUUUGCUAUAUAUUGAUUUUUUUAUUAAAUUUAUGUUUGUGCUGAAAGAGUCAGAGUUGGGGUCAAUCUAAGGCGAGUGGGAGAAUUCCACCAAAAACCUCCAAGCACAAAGACCCCUCCCUUCCAGGGAGGGUAGGGUUAGUUUAGUUCCUGAAGCAACUGCAAGCCAAACUGUGGAACAAAGCCACCUGUGACUCCCAACCAACCCCUGCCCCCCGCCUUCACUCCCUGCUGCCCCCCCCCCACUGCACUGGAAAGUCCAGAAUGGUCCACUGACCACGAAUCAGUUUGAAGGUCACUUCGCCCCAUCAAUAGUACCCUGCCUAGUUACCAUUGUUUGAAUUCUACCCCAAUUGUUUGCAAGGUAUAUAACUCCCUGUUAGAGUCUGCUCAAGGUCGUUUCCCCUUUAAGUGGGAUGACCCAAUAUGUCAGAAUUAAACUCCUCUUGCUUUUGCAUUGAUCACUGCCUCUGUGAGUCUCAUUCAAGAGGUCCUGGAAGAGGUUCAAUAAUGUGUGAUUUUUAUGUUAGGAAAUUCAAAGGAGUAGCAUUGGUGUUAGAAAAGAUUCACUAAGAAAUACUUGGGAACCAUUAAGUCAAAUCACACAAAGUAAAAUUUAGCUAAGGGAGUGCAGCCUCCAAAAUACUAGAAAGAUAAGUAGUAUAUUAAUCAGGCUUGUCUUUGUAUAUUAAGGGAAUUUAUUAUAUAGACUUACAGCCUAUAGUCCACCUAAGCAAACAAUGGGCAUCUGUGGAUGGGAAUUCCAAGAAUCCAGUAGUUGCUCAGUCCCACAAGGAUAGGUAUACAGUUUGUCUUCUAUAUGAGCUGGGAUCCUGAAGUAGGUUCCAACAGAUGUGCUGGCAACUAAGUGCAAGCAGGCAAAGAGGGUAUUCCUUCUUCCAAUGUCCUUAUGUAGGCCUCCAGCAGAAAGUGUGGUCCAGUGUGUUGCCACCACACCUGGAUUUGGAAGUUGCUUUGUCCCAGGCUGGCCUUGAACUCAGAGAUCUGCUUGCCCUAGUCUCUUGGGAUUAAAGGUGUAUACUACCUUGGCUGGACAAAAGCUUUUCAUUGCCACUAUGCCUCAAGAUCUCCAGGUCAAGAUCUAGGUCAAAAGCCUGUGUCUUUCAGGCCCAAGAUCUGGAUCACAGCCAUACCCUCCAUUUCUGAAUUGUAGUUCAUUCCAGAUGUAGCCAAGUUCACAACCAGGAAUAGCUGUCACAUGCUCCGUUUCCAAAACAAAGGUUGCAGCUCUGGCUUGUAACAAGACCAUAGGUCUGUCUUUAUUAGUGUUUCAUUGGUGUGAAGAGACACCAUGACCAUGGCAACUCUUAUAAAAGAAAACAUUUAAUUAAAGUUGGAUUACAGUUUCAAAGGUUUAGUCCAUUAUUAUUAUUUUGAGAAGCAUGAGUGUGUGCAGGCAGACAUGGUGCUGAAGAUAGAGUUGAAUGUUCUACAUAGUGAUCCACAGGCAGCAGUAGGAGACUAAAGGAAGCCUCUAAAGGAAGCCUGAACAUAGGAAACUUCAACGCCCACCCCACUACACAGUGACACACUUCUUCCAACAAGGCUUCAACUAUUCCAACGAGCUCAUACACCCUAAUAAUAGCACUCCCUGUGGGUCAUACAUUCAGACACAAGUCUAUGGGGACCAAAGUUAUUCAAACCACAAGGCUCAUCCCUAUACUAAAGUGAGUAUCUCUAACAGGCAGCUCAAGGGGCCGCAUAGGGUCACAACUAUUGCUAAGCCCUACCAUGCCACAAAGUCCUUAGUUCUUUCUUUGAGAAAACAUAAUAUUGUCAGGUAGACAAGAUGACCCUGAGUAGCAACCAUUUGGGAAAAAGAACAACACUGAUGUACUUGAAAAUUCUGGCAAUAUCUUUGCUAUAUAAGUCUCCCAUCUGCCUAUGCAACCAGACUUGCUGUCUCCUGUCUGUUUAAGUUACUCAAAGUGUGACCUGGGACUGGGACCUGAAAGAAACCUAAGAAUGACAGCAUAUGUAAAAUGCAUAUGACUAAAGUAUACAUAAGUUAGUAAGUCAUGUAUUCAAGGUUACCUCCUUUCUGGGCACUAGCCACAAUGUGACACAUGCUUUUUCUAUUAAGAGCUGUGUCUUAAUUUUCCUGAAUACAUGGAAUGAUUUUUUCAUCGUGGGAAGCACUAUUUCUGCAGUAAUCAGAGAGUUAAUAUUACUGCCAGGGCACUUAAUGUGGCUGAUUAGUAAAUCUCGUUAAUUUAUCAACAUAUGAUACAGAUUUACUGCUUUCAUCUGAAAGGCCCAUGAAGGUGACAGAAUCAAACAUUUAACAAUUUAAUGGAGGUGUAUGAAGGUAUGGGGAAAAUGAGAGAACUACCAGAAACUUAGGAAGAGAAGAUGAAAUGUCACCAUUGACUCCCAUAGAAAAAAAUCUUAUAUUUUGGAUUUUUAAAUAUAUGAUUUUUACCGUCACCUGGCAGUCAGACAGUGUAGAAAUCACAACUGGGAGCUGGGGGGGCAAGGCAGACAAAUGAUGCAGGAGGCAGAUAUGGGAGGACUGCUGGUUAGUCUCAUGCCAGUGAGCAAGUGUAUUUUCUCAGUGUCGUUUAAAGGCAAGCAACACAAAGCGUGACCAAUUCCAGAAAGAUAAACAAUGACCACAAGUGCUUCUGUGGUGAGUUUGUGGUAAACAGUAUCUGUGUAUGACUAAGGCCAUUUCCUUCAGGCUUGGAUAGUCUCUCAAGGACAUAUGUAUAAGCAGAAGAACCUGGCAGGGUAUAAUGCACGUCUUAAUUAAAAACAAAGAUAGCUGUUAGCUGAUGCAUUCAUGAUUAAUCACAAGCAAAAAGCCAGACAAAGUUAACUUUGGAUGUGCUCCCCACAUGUUCCACUGUUUUCUCUAUGCAAGCCAAAAUUGUCUCAACUAUUAGAGCAGAAAGACUGUGCUAUCUUAGGCAUUCCCUCAAGAAGUAUGGACCUUACCUGUCACUGGUACAUGAAUCCUAACAUUCAUGUCCUGUCUUAGGUUGAUUUACCUCUGAGAGAAUCUUACCCCCCCCCUUUUUAUCUAUAAGAGGAACUUUAUCAGUCAUGAAGCAGAAAGUUGUGCCUGUUUUAGGUUGCAAUCAAAAACACAUCUUUCACCCAUCAUUGACACUCAAAUAAUCUUAUAUUUGUGGCCUGUCUUAGGUUGAGAAGGCUUUCAAGACAAUCUCACCUGCCAUUGACUACCAACUUCUACUAGAGAAGAUGUUGGAGCAUAAACUUAGGAGACUCUGCUUUGACAUCUGUAAAAGCUCAGAUGAUUCCUCUCAAAAGAACAGGUAACAGAUAUGCCAUAAAAAGGAUCACAAAGCUAAUUCCUGUUGUACCCAGUAAGAGAGAUGUAAACAAGGACCAUGAAAGAAAAAUGGCCUGUAACUUUUUCAGAAUAUCAUUUUCAAUACUAGCAGUAUCAAAAGAAAAAAAGCUUUGCAUUUUUAAAAUGUACAACCAACUUAUGUGGACAAAAAAAAUCUAAAGAAUAUUAGUAUGUCAAAUAAUUAUGCCAAAUACCUUGAAACUGCCUUUUUACUCUGGUUCAGUUAUGCUGACUCUCAUUAUACAUUUUUGGAGUUAUCGAAAUCCAAGCAUGACAUUCUAAAUCACUUCUGAUAUUCAUUCCUUGUACCUCGCCUCCCAUGGUCUACACUAUAUCAUAUAUGCAUCAAUUCUUUGUUCUAGCCCUCUGGCCUCUUGUAUGCUCAGGGCAUUGGUUUUACUUUCUACAAGAUAAUUAACAAAAGUAGCUGUUGGUAGCUCUAAAGCUAAUGCAGAUAUGUUAAAUGUUAUGAGAGCAACAACACUACCCAUGAUCAGCCCAACCAUAUGUUUGCUUCUUGACAGAGUAUGAUCUAAUUCUUCCAAUAUUUUUAAGCCUUUUUUAGAAUACCAGGACAAAUUUAUAGGGAUCAUAAUAAAAUCUGGUUAAUGUACUACCAUUACAGAUUCACUAUCAUCCAGUACACAAACACAAUUGAACAGAACACAAUUAAAACAAGAAACAUUGAACUCAUUAUCAGAGCCAAUAUCAAAGGUAACAUUUCCAAUUAGUAAAAUAUUAGGUAAGACAGGGUGUUACAUUUACUUUAACCCCAAAACUGAUUCUUUUAUCUACAGAAAAGAUAACAUCACACAAAGCAGCUGUCAAUUCCCAAAUAUGUCUCUGCAGAUGUCCAGAACCAGCCCUCCAAAUGCCCACUGUCAUUUCCUUUUGUCCAAUAUUGGAUUGAUUACCAGACCAGUCCAUGACUGAGUUAUAAUAAACAGUCACAUUAAAGGAUAGAGGGGAGUCAUCAUAACAACUUCUCCAUUUGAUGAAUUUGUUGAAGGCAAGUUCCACAGUCUUUAUAUUCUCUGCCCCACAAGGUCUAAAAGCCUGAGGCAGCUCAUCCAGUCUGAGAUAUAGGCAUUCCCAUAUUAACGCUUUGCAUUACAGUUUUAGAGAUAUUCUUACUCCAAAUCUGAGGGUCCACAGAAAAGCAUCCAUCAUUUGUACUAUUUUCCAUCAUUUGUACUAUUUCUAGUAAAAACAAAUAGCUAGUCCCUGACUCAUAGCAGUGUAAUUCACCAAUCUGACAUACUUUUUACUCUCAGACCAAGGAAAUUCGAACAGCUGAGUAUUAUUAGAGGUCACAAGUACUUCUGGCCUUGACCAUACAGAAGGAUGUAGCAAAGGUGGAUCAGGAACAUAUGCCCAGUACAACUUCCCUGUCACCAUCAGCAGAGUACUCAGAAAGAUCAUGACCAGCAUCAUUCUUUGUCGCAGCAUCAGACCAGCAUCAAUUACUCUGCCAGUCACAGCAUUCCUGCAGCAUGCUGUGAAAAAACACAAACAUACCCUCUUCCCCAUAUUAAUACCAGAGUAGGACCAUCCCGUAGGCCAGUAAGUGGUACCUUCCAUUUCUAUGUCUAGUUGUAGGUGCCAUAGAUAGCAGCACAGAGUUCCUAGGCAUCCAACGUCAAAAAAUUCAAAAUAAAAUUUUGUGGUAAAGGAAUAUACAACUCCCUGUUUUUAAUUUUUGUUUUUACAGCUGAUUUUGUUUUUAGAGCUCCAUGGGCUCAUUCCAUGAUUCCCUGUCCUUGUGAACAUGCAAAAUUAUGUAUGUUAUAUAGAU